rnacentral:misc_RNA from 1 species
UAUUAUUUUAAAUAAUUUGUUAGUAUCAGUAGUGUGCGAGUCGUUGAGUAAAUUUUUUUCAUAAAAGUUGAAACAUGACACAUAUUUAUGUCUCGUGUGUGUGUGGUCGGACAGCAGCUUGCUAAAGUAGAUGUUAGUCUUGAAACGGGAGUCAAACCCAGUCCUAGUGUAGACUCCAACGACGGAAGUUGCUUCUUCUUGUUGAAGUCUAUAGCUACAGUCCUGUUUCCCCACCGCCCCACAUGUACCCCUCGCUUUUGCCUUGGCCAGUACUCAGGUCCAUCUCCACCUCAACAAUUUUAAUUCUAAUCGCCCUGCCACCACGCCAUUUCGAGACAGCAAAGCAAAAAUUAACACAACAAGAUUUGAAAACUCACUUGCAUCUAAAGUUCCUAAUCUUGUCCUCCACCAAGAGAACCUUGGGGACCUGCAAUCAGGUGUCGCCGUCAGGCCAAAUCAAGAGAAGAACUAAAAAUGCGAGUAGAAGUGAUGAGGGGAUGAGAGACGUGCACGCUGCUGGAGCACUUCUUGAGAAGGUCGGAAAGGUCGCCCGGGUCUGCGCAUCCUGUCUCAACCUGAGACGGAGCAUUGGGUGCUGGAUCGAAGUGUUUGGGAGUGCGGGCAGGGGGGGCAUACCAUCCGGUGACGCAGAGACAGGCGAGGAAAGCCAUGGCAAGAGGGACCCUGCCCGAGGCGAGGGCGGAGGCAUCGGAGGAGGAGGGCUGAAAC